GGCAAGGGCACUCUGUGACAUUUGUUAUUAAACCUCAAGUGUAUACAAUUUGUUACCUUGCCAAAGUAAAUCAACAAAAACUUAUCUAAUGUCUUAUUAUAGUUUGUUUCACUCGCUAUAAUGGUCAAAUUGAAGGUUUACAGUUUU
rnacentral:snoRNA from 1 species